ensembl:lncRNA
UUUUUUUUUUUUUUUUUUUUUUUUGCUUUGCGUUUUAGGGCUACACUCACUGCAUAUGGAGGUUCCCAGGCUAGGCGUCCAAUCGGAGCUAAAGCUGCCAGCCUACACCACAGCCACAGACAGCAACAUCAGAUCCAAGCCAUGUCUGCAACCUACACUACAGCUCACGGCAACGCUGGAUCCUUAACCCACUGAGCAAGGCCAAGAAUCGAACCUGCAACCUCAUGGUCCCUAGUGGGAUUUGUUUCUGCUGCACCGUGAUGGGAACUCCUGAGCAGUCUUGUUUAGGGUUUUUAACGGACUUCUCCACUCAUUUCUCUUAGGUUGAUAGCUAGGAGUGAGUUGUAUGUGUGCAGUCUAAUUUACCUUUAGGUUUAUGUAUAUACAUACAUCACUUUAAGAAUUUUAAGAUACAUGUAAAAUUGAGCCUUUCAGCUUUUCUUGCAAAACUGAAAGACCUGGCAAUACCAGGUCAGCAUUCCCUUCUGUGUCGUAUUUGACUGGAGCUGAGUAGAAGCUGUUCCCCCCUCCACCCCACCCCACUUAAGGCAUUUUUCUGCUCCCGUGGAAAUCUUAGUGGUGACCUCUUCUAAUCACAGGCUUGGGAGGUGUAACUCUUUAAGCUCUUAUGAAUUCAAUUGCAGAUAACUAAAAGCAGGUUUUACUGGAGGGAAUAAUAUCACCAGGGUCUGAGGGAAAAGACCCCACUGCCAGGGAUUUGGGGAGGCAGCAAGACAGAGCAAAGAUGGAUUAGGACGCCUCAAUCUAUUCUUCAAUUCAGUCUAAAACCCAUGCUCUCCAAGAAGAGGCUGUGGUAAAAGGAGAAGUGUAACUAUUGAAAAAGACCCAGUGCGUCUCCCUUAACAUACACAUUAACAUUAACAUUAUAAGUAGCCUUUAUAGAAUUUUUUUCUAUUUUGCAGAGUCAAUGAAAAAUUAAAAUAGCUCCCCAUUGCUAAACCAAAAGAAUUUAAUCUAAUCCAGAGUCCUAUGUUAUAAAAAGAAAUUAGUCAUUAGAGAUGAAUAAUACAGCUCCUCUGUUAUUCUGGUGGGUAUAGGAAUAAAUAAACAGAAAUCAAAUGUACUUCUCCACAAUCAGUGGGGCCCAAUGACUCCAAAGGUUGGGCAAGAUUCUGUGCUAAUUGAAGAAAUCUUUCCUUCCUCAGAAUAGCUUGUUUUUUCUCCCAGUCUGCCAAGAGAAUGUCUGUGUUUGGGAGGUCUAUCUGCAUUUGGUAUAACAGGCCUGUUAACAAAAGGAAGCUGUCUUGUGCAGCUCAUACAGGAAAUCACCAAAGAGAAGCACUCCUUCCCAUCACCCCUUCAUCCAGGCGAGCAUGAAAUUGACCCUUCACCUUCUUUCUGUAUGAACUUGUGCCUUUCACCUGUUGGGCCUGUUCUAGUGGUAUUAGCACAACUGAGUGAUCUACGGGGCAAAAAAGGAAGGCUUGCAUUUGCAGCAACAUGGAUGGAUAUAGAAAUUAUCAUAUUAAGUGACAUAAGUCAGAAACAGAAAGACAAAUACUGUAUGUAUCCUUACUUGUGAAAUCUAAAACAUGACACAAAAGAACUUACUAUGAAGCAUAAACAGACUCAUAGACAUGGCGAACAUACUUGUGGUUGCCAAGGGGGAAGUGGGAGGGAGAGAAAUGGAUUAGGAGUUUGGUGUUAGCAGCUGCAAGAUAUUGUAUAUAGAAGAGAUAGACAACAAGGUCCUACUGUAUAGGGCAGGUAAUUAUAUUUAAUAUUCUGAGAUAAACCACAAUGGAAAAGAAUAUGACAAAGACUGUGUAUAUAUAUGUGUGUGUAUAACUGAAUCACUUUGCUAUACAGCAGAAGUACAUUGUAAAUCAACUAUACUUCAAAAUAAAAUAAAUUUUUUAAAAAUAGGUGAUUAAGGAAAAAAGAAGACUUGAAUCACCCCAACCUCAUGGCAGCUCAACCCAUCAUCUGCAUGAACUUUAGGAACUUCAGCACCACACAGGAGGAAAAGGGUGGCUAACCAUACAGAAGAAAGACCUGAGAUGCUGCGGCAGUGCUAGUGGUGUGGAAUCUGCUGCUUAUCCCUGAAGCUAAAAUGCUGCUGCCUUAUGAAAAGGGGUGGGAGGAAUACCAUGGACCUGGGGUUUUGCACUUGUGUUUAAGAGUCAGCUCAAUCAUAGUCAGCAUCAAUUUUUAGUUUGACACAAAUCAAAUGAUUCCGUCAGAUGUCAACCACAAAGAUAGAAAACUAAAAGAGCUUUUGGUGCCAAGCUAACUGUUGACUACUUAGAACAACCUGGGUGUCUUUCAGGACAGAGCCUAAAGCUUGUAGCCCUCUCCUCAACCAUGCUACAAAACAGCUGGAAUCAAGUCUUUACCUCCAAGCUUUACACUGCAUCAAUUUUUUGAAUCCCCUGAAAAGCCUUCCCUGGUUCCCACUGUGCUCAUCCAAUCUCCAGAUUCAGCCCAUCACUCAAACUCAACCCUCAUAUUUCAGCUCACAGAUUUGCCUUCUAGAUCAUUACCAGUCUCCUUUAUCCUGGGUUCAGGUUCUAAGAAAGUCCACCUGUCAGCCUGACCUCCCUGGAUCUCCUCCUGAGAAUUACCUCAAUUUACAGCUAAGUUUCCUGCUUCCCACAUAGAUAUUGGAAAAUAUUAAAAUUAACAGUAUCUCAAGGUAGCCCUUCAACCUAAAUCAGAAGCCCAUGAUCCUUUAUAUAUUUUUUGCAGUUGCUCAAAAACUUUAUUGGCUUCUUCUUUUUAAUGCCAAGCACAGUGCCCAUUAUCUCAUUGAAUUGGCAUUUCCAUGUCCCUAGAGAUGUAUCCUCAACAAACUAAUGCUUAGAAUAAUUCAGAAAGUUACAGUGAUGGAAUCAUUUACAUUUUUAAACUGUCAGAUCCUUAACCCACUGAGCAAGGCCAGGAGUCAAACCUGUAACCUCAUGGUUUCUAGUUGGAUUUAAACAUUUCCGCUGAGCCAGGACUGGGAACUCCUAUUUAUUUUCUUUUUAGGGCUGCACUUGUGGCAUAUGGAAGUUCCCAGGCUAAGGAUGGAAUCAGAGCUACAGCUGCUAGCCUAGGCCACAGACACAGAAAUGUAGGAUCCAAGCCACAUCUACCACCUACACCAUAGGUCAUGGCAAUGCCGGAUCCUUAACCCAAUGAACAAGGCCAGGGAUCAAACCCACAUCUUCAUGGAUCCUAGUCAGGUUUGUUACCACUGAGUCACAACAGGAACUCCCUGGAAGCUCUUAACAAUUCACUUGUACUCAAAUCCUUGGUUAAGACAUUGUUUCUGGGAAAACCCAACCUAUGAUACUAUCUAAAUGCAUUCAAGGGUAACUUUUUUAAAAGAUUACUUUUUGGUCAAACAAAGUAAACCAAACUCAGCCAGUAAAUCACCAGUUUAUAAUCUCUGGCUUAAUCUAAGAAAAAGUUUUCUUCUCAGUCUAGUGAAGAAAGCAGGGACGUGAAGAAAACAAGGACUUGAAGAAGGUGCUAAAGAAUUUGACCAAGAUGCUGAGAGACUCCAGAGAUCUGUGUAUCUAAUGUCCAUGGCUGUUAUAAGCUCUUAGGUUUCCUAAUGCACUUGCUUCUUUCUGCUUUAUAUGAAGCUACAUAGCAAUCCUAGCUAUAAAGGUCAGAGCACAGGAACAGAGUGGCUAAUUCUUAGACUAGUUUAUGAUGCAGAGUGGAAAUCUCUUACUCUUUCCAUAUUUUAAAGACCCCAUAGUUUUUUUGUGCAAAUAAUGCCUAACAUUUGUUAAGUGCUUUCCAAUACAUGAUUUUUCAUGAUUCCUCUAUCUCUGUAUUAUUAUCUUUAUUUCACAGAUGAGGACACUGUAGUUUUGAAAGUUACAAAUCAGAAAAAUAUGACUCUGAAAUAUGGAUGUUUUUCUAGCAUAUAGAGAGCUGGUGAAAGAUCUGCUCUCUUAGAAAAAUGAUGAUUCCAAACCAGAUAGUUAAUAAUAGGAGAAGAACAUGUGAAGGUUGACCUUAACAGAGAAAAUCAGAAGAAAAUAUGUAAGGAGAAAAUAGGAAGUUUGUAGGAGAAGCCAAACCAGUUGAUAUUAUGAAGAGCUGGGGAAAUAAGCAAAAUGAAGAGAAGACAGCAAAUGAUGUAGUUCAAAAGAAAGGUGGAAAUGCAGAGUCAGGAAAGUUUGGCAGAUGGGAAUAAAAUCCUCUCAUGAAAAGAAAUAGCAUGGGUCAGCACUGAGGCUGGUGGGUCAGUUUUGAGGAUAACAAAGGCCAUAAGCAAUAUAGACUUAUGAUGUUACCCCAACACUGGGUUUGCCUCUUGUUGGGUAUUGAGCCAAAAACACAACCAAGUCAAAGAGCAGGAGAAGGAAGGAUUUGCUACUUGCAACAAAUAAGAACACCAGGGCUCUUCCUAAAGCCGUGUUUCCUUAUAACACCACAAAAAGCUAAGGGUACAUUCAUCUUCUUGAAGAGGUUUAUGUGGAAAGGAAUUCAGCAUAGAACUGGGGCAAAGGUCGACGGACUCUAACCUUUACUCAGUUUAAAUCAUGAGGUUCAGAAAAGUCAACAUCAUCAUCCCUUAGGUUCUAGUCGACUUGGUGGUUGAAGCUUCAGGCUAAUCUUUACCGUUGAUACAGAACUGGGAGUCUCUACAACAGACGUGUUAUCUUUGCUGUUGUUACUUCUCUUGCCUGAUAAUAGUUUGUUCCUUUGGUCCUCUAAGGUCAUUAUUACUAAGAGCAGUUCAAGGGCAAGCACUACGGCAAGUCUUAGAUCUCAAAAUAGCUUAGGCCCAAAAAAUGACCUCUCUUGACAAGUUAGGCCUGUCUCUCUUUCUCUUAGGGACCCCUACCCUAUGCGCUUAUAAUUAGGCAGAAAUGUUAAGACUUUCCUAGCAUAAGCACGAAAGAAAUCCAGAGAGCUGUCCUCCAGGUCUGGGAAAGACAGAUGCUAACAAACUAGGCAAAGACUUGGCCAAGUCAGGUGCAGAGAGGCAGCCUGGUGAGGGCCACAGGCAGAGGUAAGCAGCAGAGUCUACAAGCUGAUGAGGAUGUAGUUCAAAAGAAAGGUGGAAAUGUGGAGAGAGGAGAGAAGGGUGUAAAGAGUGCUUAGCAAGCUGGAAUCAGAUGGCACCCUCAUCAGGUUCUGGGGGUUUCAUUCCUGACAUUAGUUCUAAACAAUUAGCUAUCCUGGGCAAGGACCAAGGCUUGGGAAUGCAGGUGGUGAUGCUGAGAUACUGACACGGUCAUGGAAAUUGAGGUCCAAUCCAAAGCAGAUCCAGUCUGAGCUUGUUGCCAGGUUGCUGAU